CACGUAGGGACCAAGCGUUGUCCGGAUUUAUUGGGCGUAAAGAGCUCGUAGGCGGCUUGAUAAGUCGGGUGUGAAACCUCCAGGCUCAACCUGGUGACGCCACCCGAUACUGCCAUAGCUAGAGUUCGGUAGGGGAGCGGGGAAUUCCUGGUGUAGCGGUGAAAUGCGCAGAUAUCAGGAGGAACACCGGUGGCGAAGGCGCCGCUCUGGGCCGAAACUGACGCUGAGGAGCGAAAGCGUGGGGAGCAAACAGG
rnacentral:rRNA from 1 species